rfam:Cavia porcellus supercont2_3 genomic scaffold, whole genome shotgun sequence.
GGGGAUUUAGCUUAGUGGCAUAAGCACCUGCCUUGCAAGCAGUCGUGAGUUCGAUCCCCG